rnacentral:rRNA from 1 species
AGAGUUUGAUCAUGGCUCAGAGCGAACGCUGGCGGCAGGCCUAAAACAUGCAAGUCGAGCGCCGUAGCAAUACGGAGCGGCAGACGGGUGAGUAACACGUGGGAACGUACCCUUUGGUUCGGAACAACCCAGGGAAACUUGGGCUAAUACCGGAUAAGUCCGCAAGGAGAAAGAUUUAUCGCCGAAGGAUCGGCCCGCGUCUGAUUAGCUUGUUGGUGAGGUAACGGCUCACCAAGGCGACGAUCAGUAGCUGGUCUGAGAGGAUGAUCAGCCACACUGGGACUGAGACACGGCCCAGACUCCUACGGGAGGCAGCAGUUAGGAAUCUUGGACAAUGGGCGCAAGCCUGAUCCAGCCAUGCCGCGUGAGUGAUGAAGGCCCUAGGGUUGUAAAGCUCUUUCAGCGGGGAAGAUAAUGACGGUACCAGCAUAAGAAGCCCCGGCUAACUUCGUGCCAGCAGCCGCGGUA